GACGAACGCUGGCGGCGUGCUAACACAUGCAAGUCGAACGGUAAGGCCCUUCGGGGUACACGAGUGGCGAACGGGUGAGUAACACGUGGGUGAUCUGCCCUGCACUUCGGGAUAAGCCUGGGAAACUGGGUCUAAUACCGGAUAGGACUCCGGACUGCAUGGUCUGGGGUGGAAAGCUUUUGCGGUGUGGGAUGGGCCCGCGGCCUAUCAGCUUGUUGGUGGGUGAUGGCCUACCAAGGCGACGACGGGUAGCCGGCCGGAGGGGGUGACCGGCCACACUGUGCCGAGGAUACGGCCCAGACUCCUACGGGAGGCAGCAGUGGGGAAUAUUGCACAAUGGGCGCAAGCCUGAUGCAGCGACGCCGCGUGAGGGAUGACGGCCUUCGGGUUGUAAACCUCUUUCAGCAUCGACGAAGCGAAAGUGACGGUAGGUGCAGAAGAAGGACCGGCCAACUACGUGCCAGCAGCCGCCGUAA
rnacentral:rRNA from 1 species